GUUUUGGUAGCUCAGUUUGGUAGAGCAACGGGUCGCACCUGUGGUCGUUGGUUCAAAUCCAACCCAAACCA
rnacentral:tRNA from 1 species